rnacentral:rRNA from 1 species
CCUACGGGAGGCAGCAGUGAGGAAUAUUGGUCAAUGGACGCGAGUCUGAACCAGCCAUGCCGCGUGCGGGAAGACGGCUCUGUGAGUUGUAAACUGCUUUUGUACGAGGGUAAAUCCCGAUACGAGUAUCGGGUUGAAAGUAUCGUACGAAUAAGCAUCGGCUAACUCCGUGCCAGCAGCCGCGGUAAUACGGAGGAUUCAAGCGUUAUCCGGAUUUAUUGGGUUUAAAGGGUGCGUAGGCGGUUCGAUAAGUUAGAGGUGAAAGCCCGGGGCUCAACUCCGGCAGUGCCUCUGAUACUGUCGGGCUAGAGUUUAGUUGCGGUAGGCGGAAUGUAUGGUGUAGCGGUGAAAUGCAUAGAGAUCAUACAGAACCCCGAUUGCGAAGGCAGCUUACCAACCCACGACUGACGUUGAGGCACGAAAGCGUGGGGAGCAAACAGGAUUAGAUACCCCUGUAGUC